AUUGAACGCUGGCGGCAGGCCUAACACAUGCAAGUCGAACGAGUGGCGGACGGGUGAGUAAUGUCUGGGAAACUGCCCGAUGGAGGGGGAUAACUACUGGAAACGGUAGCUAAUACCGCAUACCAUCGGAUGUGCCCAGAUGGGAUUAGCGAGUUGGUGGGGUAACGGCUCACCUAGGCGACGAUCCCUAGCUUGUGUGAGAGGAGGACCAGCCACACUGGGACUGAGACACGGUCCAGACUCCUACGGGAGGCAGCAGUGGGGAAUUUUGCACAAUGGGCGAAACCCUGAUGCAGCCAUGCCGCGUGUAUGAUGAAGGCCUUCGGGUUGUAAAGUACUUUCGGCGGUGAGGCGUUACUUGCAGAAUAAGCACCGGCUAACUCCGUGCCAGCCGCCGCGGUAAUUC
rnacentral:rRNA from 1 species